UACGUAGGGUGCAAGCGUUAAUCGGAAUUACUGGGCGUAAAACGUGCGCAGGCGGUUCUGAAAGUCAGCUGUGAAAGCCCCGGGCUUAACCUGGGAACUGCGGUUGAAACUACAGGACUAGAAUCUGGCAGAGGGGGGUGGAAUUCCACGUGUAGCAGUGAAAUGCGUAGAGAUGUGGAGGAACACCGAUGGCGAAGGCAGCCCCCUGGGCUGAGAUUGACGCUCAGGCACGAAAGCGUGGGGAGCAAACAGG
rnacentral:rRNA from 1 species